rnacentral:rRNA from 1 species
GACGAACGCUGGCGGCGUGCCUAACACAUGCAAGUCGAACGGAGUCGGCCCCGCAAGGGACUGACUUAGUGGCGAACGGGUGAGUAACGCGUGAGCAACCUGCCUUUCAGUGGGGGACAACAGUUGGAAACGACUGCUAAUACCGCAUAAUGCAUUUUGACCGCAUGAUCGAGAUGCCAAAGAUUUAUUGCUGAAAGAUGGGCUCGCGUCUGAUUAGAUAGUUGGUGAGGUAACGGCCCACCAAGUCGACGAUCAGUAGCCGGACUGAGAGGUUGAACGGCCACAUUGGGACUGAGAUACGGCCCAGACUCCUACGGGAGGCAGCAGUGGGGAAUAUUGGGAAAUGGGGGAAACCCUGACCCAGCAACGCCGCGUGAAGGAAGAAGGCUUUCGGGUUGUAAACUUCUUUUACCAGGGACGAAGAAAGUGACGGUACCUGGAGAAAAAGCCACGGCUAACUACGUG